GUACGGUGUCUAAGAGACUAUGGAGAAUUUGAAGUUGAUGAUGGUACCUCUGUGAUACUAAGAAAAAACAGCCAGCAUUUUUUACCUCGCUGGAAGUGUGAACAGUUAAUCAGACAAGGAAUUCUGGAACAUGUGCUAUCCUAGCUUCACAUUAAGACGGAGUCCAGCUGUUGGAGACAUCUGCACAUAUCUGUCUACCUGAAUCUCCACUGUUUAAUUGUUAAACUUAUAGGCAUUCUUUAUGUAAAGCCAGAAUUACUUUGCUACAUAGUUUUAGUGCUCAUUUCUAAGGCUUUAUUAGAAUCCUAAGAAUUCUUCUCAUCCUUGUAGUAUUCUCUAUCCAUAUAUAUAUAACAUUUCUAUAUUAGUGCUUUAAAAAAACAAACCAGCAAACCGUAAUUACCUUUGAGUCUUUUUUCUCUUUUCCCCCCAAAUACAGUUGCAUCUGGCUGUACAAGAAGAAGGUAGAACCUCAUGAGUCUUAUAUUUUGGCAGGAAUGCUGUGGCAUCAUGAUCAGGUUUAAGCCAAGGAGCCCAAGGUUCUUGAAUAUUUAUUAAUGUGUAACCACAAUUGUUUAUCAUCUGAUUUGCGAAGGCAGACAGUAAUGGCUAGCCUGGCACAUGAGUUGUUAAUAAACAUUCCUCCAAUCCUGG